rnacentral:tRNA from 1 species
GGGGCGUUAGCUGAGUUGGGAGCGCGCCUGCGUUGCAAGCAGGAGGUCAUCGGUUCGAUCCCGAUACGCUCCA